GAACGCUGGCGGCAUGCCUCAUACAUGCAAGUCGAACGAGAUCUUCGGAUCUAGUGGCGCACGGGUGAGUAACAUGUGGGAAUCUACCUAAAGGUUCGGAAUAACUGCGGGAAACUGUAGCUAAUACCGGAUGUGUCUGCAAAGAAAAAGAUUUAUCGCCUUUAGAUGAGCCCGCACUAGAUUAGCUAGUUGGUGAGGUAACUGCUCCACCAAGGCUACGAUCUAUAGCUGAUUUGAGAGGAUGAUCAGCCACACUGGGACUGAGACACGGCCCAGACUCCUACGGGAGGCAGCAGUAGGGAAUAUUGGACAAUGGGGGAAACCCUGAUCCAGCAAUGCCGCGUGAGUGAAGAAGGCCCUCGGGUUGUAAAACUCUUUCAUCAAUGAUGAUAAUGACAUUAGUUGAAGAAGAAGCUCCGGC
rnacentral:rRNA from 1 species